GCCCUAUGACCAACCUGAAAUCUUAGGGUCUCUAGUUUGGCCUCUGUCCCCCAGCCCUGACAGCCCCCUGCGCUGUUGUGAUGUGACACUGUGAUAUCAUGUCAUAUAUAGCCAUGUCUUGCUACAGAAUCAUUGGCCUGGACCUCAGUGCCUGGAGUUCCUUACAUUCUGAAUAACAAUUAAGGGUAUAAUCCUGGGGAU
rnacentral:lncRNA from 1 species